GACGAACGCUGGCGGCGUGCCUAACACAUGCAAGUCGAGCGAUGAAACCCUUCGGGGUGGAUUAGCGGCGGACGGGUGAGAAACACGUGGGUAACCUGCCUCAAAGAGGGGGAUAGCCUCCCGAAAGGGAGAUUAAUACCGCAUAACAUUAGUUUUUCGCAUGGAGAACUAAUUAAAGGAGUAAUCCGCUUUGGGAUGGACCCGCGGCGCAGUAGCGAGUUGGUGGGGUAAAGGCUCACCAAGGCGACGAUGCGUAGCCGACCUGAGAGGGUGAUCGGCCACAUUGGAACUGAGACACGGUCCAGACUCCUACGGGAGGCAGCAGUGGGGAAUAUUGCACAAUGGGCGAAAGCCUGAUGCAGCAACGCCGCGUGAGUGAUGAAGGCCUUCGGGUUGUAAAGCUCUGUCUUUUGGGACGAUAAUGACGGUACCAAAGGAGGAAGCCACGGCUAACUACGUGCCAGCAGCCGCCGUAACAC
rnacentral:rRNA from 1 species